rnacentral:rRNA from 1 species
ACCAAAAACAUCGCCUCCUGCAUAAAAAAUCAACGUAUAGGAGGUCCUGCCUGCCCAGUGACAACUAGUUAAACGGCCGCGGUAUUUUGACCGUGCUAAGGUAGCGCAAUCACUUGUCUUUUAAAUGAGGACCUGUAUGAAUGGCGGAACGAGGGCUUAACUGUCUCCUUUUUCUAGUCAAUGAAAUUGAUCUACCCGUGCAGAAGCGGGUAUACUAAUACAAGACGAGAAGACCCUUUGGAGCUUAAGAUAAAAGGCCAACUAUGUCAAAGGCCCAAGUAAAACUAAACCUAACAAAACAGUUAACUGGCCAAUAUCUUCGGUUGGGGCGACCGCGGGGGAAAACAAAGCCCCCACGUGGAAUGGGGAAUACUCCCUAAAACCAAGAGAGACAUCUCUAAGUCACAGAACAUCUGACCAAUAAAGAUCCGGCCAAUCAAGCCGAUCAACGGACCAAGUUACCCUAGGGAUAACAGCGCAAUCCCCUCCAAGAGUUCAUAUCGACAAGGGGGUUUACGACCUCGAUGUUGGAUCAGGACAUCCUAAUGGUGCAGCCGCUAUUAAGGGUUCGUUUGUUCAACGAUUAAAGUCCUACGUGAUCUGAGUUCAGACCGGAGCAAUCCAGGUCAGUUUCUAUC